UUAUGGGGAUUCUUCUGAUGAUGACCAUGGUGCACAUUCGAGGUCGAAUUUUGUCUACCCGGGAGGGGAUGAUGCGGGCCCUNAUGCACAUUCGAAGUCGAAUUUUGUCUACCCGGGAGGGGAUGAUGCGGGCCCUAGUGUGGAGGAUCGGGCCCUUGCGUUCCUAGAGGCCCACGAUCGUGUGACUAAAGGGGCUUCACGAAAAUGGCCAUAACUUUGGCUACGAAUCUCCGUUUUGGGCCUACGACCAGUCAAAUCAAAGCUUGGAGCAAGGA
rnacentral:lncRNA from 1 species